GUCCACCAAGCGCGUGGUGCACUCUACCUAUAGACUGCAUUAUUGCAGCACCGACAACAUUGAAUAGGGUGCUUGUACACUUUUCCUGUUAUUAGUCUUCGCAGAAUCAAUUUCAGAUAUUGGGCAUUGGAUCCUACGUCCUUCUAGAUGGGUCAAGUCAAGAUCAGAUUUUGGGCAUGUCAAACACAUCAUGAUAGACCACCCGCACCUCACUGGAUGAUUGCACGCGCGCUGUUGGCUUGGAGUUGUACCGGCUUAGGAGUCUUAUUGAGAUAGGUGCCUCUGUAGUUGUUUGUUGUGUUUUUGUUUCUAGUGUUGAUUCUUUAAGAUAUGUUUCUUCCCUGUCAUGUUUACUAAAUUCCUUGAUUUGGUUUAUUUUUUCAGAUCUGGGAAGAGGGCCGCGUGUAUGCCCUCCUCCUGCAGGAUCCGUGAUGCGACCCACCCCGCAGCCGGCAGUUCAGGACGAGGAUGGAGGUGACGAACGCAUGUCCUCCUCCUCGACCUCCAAGGACGUAGGCCUUGGAUCCGUGCUCGCAGGCCCCAGCCUUGGCUUCUUCUGUGACUACUGCAUCAGCCAUGGCGUCCACCUCCCUACAGUCGCUGACUCCCAAGCAACAGCAGCAUCAACCCAUCCCACCCCCCUUCUCUCAGCGUGGCACAUCGGCUGCGGUUGGCCUUGUUGGUGGCUAGGACCGUCAUGGGUGUCACCUGUGCCCUCUCCGUUGAACUGUUGGUCGUCGAUGCGGCGGCAGCAGCAUCUUCGACCCCCUUCCUCACUGGCCACAGGUGGAUGCUGAGGUACAAGACCUGGAUAGGAGAUCCGGUGGGGUUGCGACGGGCUUGAAGACGUAGUAGAGGUGCAGCCUCCUGCCCAUGGCUUCCAAGACUUCACGACAAGGCCCCUGCCCUUGGUUCGUUCUAGGAAACCUUUUGGAAGCAACACAUCCAAGUCCGGCUCUAUCUUCGUGUCAUCGCUUGGUGGGCUCCGCACGACCCAGAGGAAUCUCUGUCGACUAGCCUCUAGCCCAGUGGCCAUUUCUCUGGUUUGCCUAGCGCUGAAUCGGCCGAGGCUGCCAAAGCCCUGUGUUCUCCAUUCUUCGACCUCUGGCCAAUCUGAGAACAAUCCAAUUGGGUUUUGGAUCUUCUACAUGGUCAAAGAUUGGUAGUGGUAAGCAACAGGUACAAUUUUUAUUUGUGUUUGCUAUUAAUCAGUCAACUGGAAAAAAUUCUCGCGUUCAGUUGAUUCCCA